rnacentral:rRNA from 1 species
GAUGAACGCUGGCGGCGUGCCUAAUACAUGCAAGUCGAGCGAACAGACGAGGAGCUUGCUCCUCUGACGUUAGCGGCGGACGGGUGAGUAACACGUGGAUAACCUACCUAUAAGACUGGGAUAACUUCGGGAAACCGGAGCUAAUACCGGAUAAUAUGUUGAACCGCAUGGUUCAAUAGUGAAAGACGGUUUUGCUGUCACUUAUAGAUGGAUCCGCGCCGCAUUAGCUAGUUGGUAAGGUAACGGCUUACCAAGGCAACGAUGCGUAGCCGACCUGAGAGGGUGAUCGGCCACACUGGAACUGAGACACGGUCCAGACUCCUACGGGAGGCAGCAGUAGGGAAUCUUCCGCAAUGGGCGAAAGCCUGACGGAGCAACGCCGCGUAAGUGAUGAAGGUCUUCGGAUCGUAAAACUCUGUUAUUAGGGAAGAACAAAUGUGUAAGUAACUAUGCACGUCUUGACGGUACCUAAUCAGAAAGCCACGGCUAACUACGUG